rnacentral:lncRNA from 1 species
GGAGCUGCCAGGGGGAGCUGCGCGGGGCAGGCCCGGGGGACCAGAGUCCCUUGCUUUAGCGGCGGCCCUGCGGGUGCCAGAGGCUUGCAGAGUGAUCUGAGCGCGCCAAGAGAUUGCUGUCAAUGAAAGCACCAAAAUUUCCGCGUAGGAGGGACUCAGGGACAACGAUGCAAUUGGAAGGCUCUGGAAGAAACUGGCCCACUGACUUGAGAAGCCUAAGAGGACCAGGCAGUAUUUAUAUUUUCAAGUUCCGUGGAAUUGGUGAUUCCCUGGUGGAGGAGUCCACUCUCCGCCGCUUCUCUUCCAUCAACAACUAAGACGUCGAAUUUGCUAGAGCCCCACCCAAAGCUGUGGACACAGGGAGCACACAUUUCUCAAGGUGGUCUCUGAGAGUGAUGGAUGGCUGAUGCCGGCUGAUGCCCAGAGGCUGAACCAUCCUAUCCACCCACUUGCUGGGUGCCUCCUCUGCAGGAAAGGCUUUCUGGCAGACUUUAACGGAAGUCCAACGAUUGGCACACUAGUGCCAUUUCCAUAGGUCACCUCCUGACUUGGGACAUUCCAGUGUCCUCCACCUUUAUACCAAAGACUGUGCCCCUAUCACUGUAUCCAUGUCAGCCUCUAAGGCCCCGGCUCCCAGGAUCACACGCCAGGCCCUCUGACAAGGUCCCCAGCCACCCUCCUGUAAGGGUCUGCAGGUCCUGAGCGCAGCAGGCACCCAGGCUGGAAUGAGGAGGUGAGCUCCUCGCGUACAGGGGUCCCGCUGCCUCCUCCUCUGACUCCCUGGCUCUGAGCGAAGGCUCUGGCGUCGCUAGCCAUGAGAGGAAUAUUUGCCGAGUGACCCUAGGAGCGAGUGGUGUCAGCAUAAAGGCCAGUGCACCCAACGCUGGCCCAAAACAUCCUCUGGAGACCAGAGCUGCCCAGCUGCGGGAUGCAUUCUGCCUUUGAAGAUGCUGGCACGGAAUGUGGAGCCCAGAGAAGACAAAGAUCUAUCAAGGGCCUCCCGGGAGCUUGUGCCAGAAUGUGCAACUCAAACCAGUGUCGGCAGGAAGGAAACUUGUUGGCAUAACUGCAGAGACCACGUCUUGCUUCAGAGCCUCGCGUCUCCUGUGUUGGUGCCAUUGCAGCUGCACAGCCUCCAGCCCCGACACCCAGGAUGGCCGAAGCAAGAGCACCUUCCUGUGGCUCCAGCUGAAAUCCAGGGGCCUCUCCUUUCUCUCCCUGGCCCAUUUCAUGCCUCCUCUAAACCUUCGCUGUGACCAGGGUUUAGAGGGGGCAUUGCUGGCCCCACCCAAGAUGCAAGGUCUGAAAACGGAGAAAGACGGCUUCCCCAAGACAAGCUGGGAUGCUCUUACAAGAAAGACAGAAAAGAGAUGCUGGGGCUGGAUGCAGUGGCUCACACCUGUAAUCCCAGCAUUUUGGGAGCCAAAGAUGGGCGGAUCACCUGAGGUCAGGAGUUCGAGGCCAGCCUGGUCAACAUGAUGCCUACCGGGUGCCUGCCAGGAGGGCCGGGCCCUGUUCUCACCACUGCUCUGAAUGGUCGCCACAGAGAAUGGUCCCUGCUCUAAGGGAGCCCAUGUUCCGCUUGGGGAAGGCAACCAGCAAGAUCUAAAGCACAGUCACGCAUCACUGAGUGACAGGGACAUGUCCUGUGAAAUGCAUGGUGAGGUGAUGUUGUCAUUGUGUGGACGUCCCAGAGUGCACUACACAAACCUGGAUGGGGUCGCCUACUGCACAUCUAGGCUGCAUGUAGCCCGUGGCUCCUAGACUGCAGACCCAGACAGCAUGUUACUGCCCCGAAUGCCGCAGGCAGCUGGAACCCAGUGGUUAAGUAUCCGUGUACCUAAACACAUCUCAACUUAGAAAAGGUACAGUAAAAAUAUAGUAUUAUCAUUGAUGGGACCACUGUCACCACUGCACACUGCCUUGGACCGAAACAUUAUACAGUGCAUGGUUGUCGAUGAUGGAGAUUGAGAUUUGUGCACUGGAGAAAAUAAAGCAAGGUGGGCUGAGAGUGGGAGGCCCGCAGGGCAGGGCACUUUGGAGCAGGUUGUCAGGAAAUGCCUCCCUGAAGAGGGCGCAUUUGCACUGAAAGCCAAGUGACAAGAAGAAACUGCCAUGCACGGAUCUGGGGGCUAGAGGGUGGGACAGGAGGGACAGCAAGAGCAAAGGCACUGGGGACGGAGGGGCUUCAUGGGCAGCGGGGAGCUCCGCAGGAGCCCGCUGGGUCUGGCUUGCAAGCUCUCUGGCCCUUUGCUGGACACCCCAGAGCAAGCCAGCCCCUGCCUGGGACUCCCUGAACACACUGCCCCCAGAGAACCAGAGGCAGAGGGGCUGGCUCGCCUGAGUUCCACAGGAAAGACAGACUGUCCUGAGAACAGACAGUGGCUCAUUUUCAUCACUGUUCCUCAAACAAGUAGAUUUUGUUUUAAAGCAAACAAAUAAACAGAGUUGUCAAGUUGG